rnacentral:tRNA from 1 species
GGUUGUGGCUCAGUGGUAGAGUGUUUGCCUAGCACAUGGGAGGAUCUGGGUUCGAUCCUCAGCACCA